CUAUGAAUGUGCUAGGCAUAGAAAUUGGAUAAAAGGGUCUGCAUGUCUGUUGUCUCUGAUAAUUUAAUGAUUUGAGGGCCUGGUUAUGACCUACAUCU